GGAUUAGAUACCCUGGUAGUCCACGCCGUAAACGAUGUGUACUAGUUUGAUGCGGAUCUGACUCCGUGUCGAACGCCGAGAAAUCAUUAAGUACACCGCCUGGGGAGUACGGUCGCAAGGCUAAAACUCAAAGGAAUUGACGGGGGCUCACACAAGCGGUGGAGCAUGUUGCUUAAUUCGAAGCAACGCGAAGAACCUUACCUGGGCUUGACAUGUACGGAUUAGCUUUUGGAAACAUAAGUGACGCCCUUGGGUGGAACGUACACAGGUGCUGCAUGGCUGUCGUCAGCUCGUGCCG
rnacentral:rRNA from 1 species